GCAGAAAGCCUGAGACUUUGAGCAUUGCAACUGCAACAUAACUCUUUAAACUGUUUGACUGCAGGGAAGCUGCUGGCCUGCAAGACAAUUCUAGACAACCUCACGGGAGAACAAGGGUAGCCACAGGAGCAGUCUGUCUGUCUGUCUGCAGCCUCUCCUGACAGCACUUUGAGAUGCAUAACUAUUAAUAUGGAGAGUCGACCAUGAGGGAAUGGAUUAAAAUACUUGCCCACGCACCACACCUCCAAGCUCUUUUCCUCAUGCAAUUUUGUCUAGGAAGGGGAAGAAAAGCACGUCAGCCAUUCAAGAGUAUGUCCCAGGACUUCAAAAGUGGAACUUCAUAGGUAAAUACGAGAUUGGAUUGAAUUUGGUGAGUCCAUGAAGUGGAUUUUCGAUACUGAAGGACUGUCAUUUUGGAAGGUGAUUUAAGAGUUUUGACUGUUGUUGUCAUCCUCAGUGUUAUGAAAAGCAUGCAUCUAGCUGUGCAGUCUGAGAUCCCUUCCAGCUGUUUCAAAAAACAGUUAUUAUCAUCUGCAAGCAAGAUUGUUUUGCACCACAGUAGAUAUUAGAAGGAAGCCUAUGUAAUCAUUUAUAG